UGAUUCUGAUUUUACAAAUGCUGAUGACUUUUGACUUCAAAGAUACGCAUUGUCACUAAGAACAAGAUCAUCAACAAUAUAAAAGUUCGAUAUAUCUGUAGGAGUGGGUUCUAUGACGGCAUAGCUUUAUCACUUAUAAGGACAGAUACGUCUUCGGUUUAGCUUCAAACGGGACUUUUCUAUACAGAAUAUAAAAAAACUUCAAAACUUUUUAAGAUACUCUUCAAACAAUGAAUACAGUAAAGAACGUUGGAAUUGUAACAGUCUUCUUAGCAUUAUUAGUUCAUAUUAGUCAAGGCAGAAAUAUACAGCUAGACUGUCUAGAAUUAUGUGCUGAAGGGAUAAAUCCAUUGAAAUAUAAUAUGGACUGUGACUGUUUCAAUUCUAGCCCAUUCCAAUUCGUUAAACGCACAGUUAAACUUCCAUUCAGAUAUGGUAAACGAAGUUUUAUGGGAUAUCCUUCAGGAUUACAACAAUAUUUCAGAAACGGAUACGGGGUAAAGUCUUAUGAUUCCAAUCCAUUCCUGUCAAAAGAAGCAUACGGAGACUACUGAUUGGUUACUUCAGCUGACCUCUAGUCACAUGGUUUUGAAGCCAGUUUGUGACACGAUUUAAAUUUUAAAUCGUUUAAAACGAACAUUAAGUGCCUGAAACAUAUAAUUUUAAUAGAAGUUAAAUUCAGUGCGCUAGAAUAUUUCGAUCUUUUAAUUACUUUUUACUAUUGACUUAUUCCCAUGUUUUAUUUGAUUGUAUACCCUCUGGUUUAUUUUUCCGUCCUAAACAUGUUUAAGUAAAUAAAGUAUUCUUGUAAAGUUUGACCUUCUGACACAACAAAUUUGCAUAAUACAUAUAUAUAUAUACCAAAUAGACCAACAACAGAAAUUUGGAAUGUUUUUUGUGGUCGGCAAUGUUAUCUCUCGUAGAGGUACAUUGAUUAUGCUUAUUUGUAAGAUAUAUUACAUAUUUCCUUUUGAAUUGCUAAGGCGAUUGUCUUGAUAAUCCAUGAAUUUUGUAUUGCAUAUUAACGGAAUGUUUAAUUUUGAUUUAACAUGUAUGUGAAUAUAUCAUGUCUGUGCAACUAGCCAAAUAGUAUAUGAUAGAUAAAUAUUUGAAAAAUCAACAGCAACAAAAGCCGAAUUUACCACUCCACAGCAAAAAAAAAUUUUAACAAUAUUUUCACAGCAACAUUUUACCAAAAUCACCGUGUAAUCGUCGUUUGAACCGGGGGAUGAUUGGUUGUCUGUAUAUAUUCAGUGAAAAUAGAAAAAAUAGCCUCACAAGCACAUUAAGCAAGUUUAGACUUACUUGUGAAGAGACUACCUUUUAUUUGAAUCAUUAAUUUGAGGUUUUGACAUUCAAACUAAUCAUUAUUUAAAUAACUUAAAUUUCACAUCACAACAAGUAAAGAAACUUCCGUUUUUAGGAAAUGGAAUGCAUUUUACAGUUAAUUGGAUCAAUGCAUAUUGGAUGAAUAAGUGGAAAAUAUUUUUAUGCUUACCGCUUCUGAAACAGAAUUUAAAGUCGAGAAUGAUGAAUAAGAAGUACUAGUUUGUCAGUUACGACUAAUCAUUUUGGCCUACAACGUUGACAGAAUACCUUUCUGUUAAAUAGUCAAAUGCUUACUAGAACUAUCAUAUACACUGAUAUAUCUUUUCAAACUUAAUUUAUGUAAAUCGCAUAUUUAAAUAAUCUGGAUUUAAUCUUCAAAAUUAAGUCAACUUAAAUGUUCUUUUUGUCCAUCGUAUUGCGCACAAAAAUGUUAUAUAUAAUCAUUGUUUACAUUCUUCAUUCAGAUGGACAUGCUUUACAUAUCAUAUGGGUUGUCUUUGAAAUAUUUGACAAAGAAUAUUUAAGUUUUCUUUAUUGUCAGGUUUCUGUUUUCAAUAAAACUAUGUAUCUGUG